GUGUGACCCGCCGUCACCUCGGGGAAGCCGGGGAAACGGGAGGGCCACUCCUUCUCACGCCUCGCUUCCCCGCGGUGUGUUUCUACAGACUCGGUGGCGGAGCGCACCGACUGCCGCCAGGAUGAGGAGGCUGCAGGAACUCACGACGACGAUGUUGUGGAGGCCGGUGGGAGUGAGAAGACUGAGGCAAAGCCCCGGGCUGGGGGACAUGAGGACGAGGCGGCCCCAGUACCUGAGGUGGAGGUGGAGGAGGAGGCGGGCCAGCCCCGUGAAAAUGGCCAGGAGGAGUCCUUAGCCAUCGCCUGGGCUGAGCCGGAAGACGAGCCUGGCCCCAAGGUGGACGGGGCGGACGAUGAAAUCUCUUGGAGCUUGGAGAGUGUGUGUGAGAGCGACCUCGCUGACAGCAACCUCGCAGAAAGUGAUCGAGACUCGGUGGCGGAGCGCACCGACUGCCGCCAGGAUGAGGAGGCUGCAGACUGUUGCUUUGGGAGCAAAGGAUCGUGCUUCAAAAGUCUGAGGACAAGUUUGUCCUCUGCGAGCUUGGCUAGAAUAAUUCCCCGGUGGCCACACAACAGGGUGCACCUUGCCACUGAGCCAGAUGAAGGAACUCACGACGACGAUGUUGUGGAGGCCGGUGGGAGUGAGAAGACUGAGGCAAAGCCCCGGGCUGGGGGACAUGAGGACGAGGCGGCCCCAGUACCUGAGGUGGAGGUGGAGGAGGAGGCGGGCCAGCCCCGUGAAAAUGGCCAGGAGGAGUCCUUAGCCAUCGCCUGGGCUGAGCCGGAAGACGAGCCUGGCCCCAAGGUGGACGGGGCGGACGAUGAAAUCUCUUGGAGCUUGGAGAGUGUGUGUGAGAGCGACCUCGCUGACAGCAACCUCGCAGAAAGUGAUCGAGGUAAGAACAGCUCUCAGGUAGGAGCCAGUGGGAGAGGGUUCCCGGGACACUUGGGUUAGGCCUGCUGCUUGGAGGGUGGGGCGGGUGAGUGUGCAAUUGCAAAAGAGAAAGAAAUUGGUGUAAAGAUGUUCGUCGCCUAUGUUCCUAAGGAGGGGGAGCAGGUAUGAGAUGCCCGAAUGUUGGCAUCUGUGCUCACGUUGUGUUGGCGGGCCUCAGUCCCUGGAGCAGAGGGAAGGCCUGGGCACCUGGAGGAAAAACCCGGGUGAUGCUGUGUGACCCGCCGUCACCUCGGGGAAGCCGGGGAAACGGGAGGGCCACUCCUUCUCACGCCUCGCUUCCCCGCGGUGUGUUUCUACAGACUCGGUGGCGGAGCGCACCGACUGCCGCCAGGAUGAGGAGGCUGCAGGUAGGGAAGAGCACGCAGCUGGGAUCCAGGGGGAGAGGGUUCCUGGGAGCAGCUGGGUUCCACCUGCUGCCGGGAGAGGGCGGAAGGGGGCUAGGACUUGGGUGGGUGGCCUACUGAGCGGAACUCCGCUGUGGUGUUUUCCCCUCUGAAGUUGCUAAGCCGAAGACGACUUGGGUCCCUGGUCUUUGUUGUGCUGUGUUUGGAUUCGUGUCUCCUUCCUUUGAGAGGGAGAAUGGCUUUUCCCUCCGAAGCGGCUCCUUCCAGCUCUUGUCUCUGGCCAUGGUGCCAGCUUGCUUUGUGGGUCGCACCCUGAGGGUCCUGUGCACAAGAGCUGUUGACUUAGUUUCCUUUGUUGCCCUUGAGGGCCCUGGUGUGGUGGGACGCAACCCUCUCCUAGGCCCUUGACCCUGGAGACCAAGUUUGCCUGGUGAGUGUCAGGUGGCGGGUGAGAAGGCAGGUCUCUCCCUCUGCACGUUUGGGAUUUCUGGCCUCCCUGUCCUGGUGUGUCCUGGCGGUGUGUCCUGAGGGAAGGGGCGUUCCCAGAGUUGGAU
rnacentral:lncRNA from 9 species